CUCUCCUAGGGCGGGUGGAGGGCGAGGCCAAGAGAGGAAGGAAGGAAGGGACAAAGGCUGGUCAAAUUAGGGUUACACAGGGCGACUAAGGGAGAGAAUUGUGCUGGAGCCGGGGAGAGUCACACUGAGCACAGCGCCCAUACCUGUGUGGACUCGGUAGUGAGUCUCCAUUUGAUGCUUGAGUGAAAACCUCUUUCCACAGACAGAGCAAGAAUAGGGCCGAGACCGAGCAGGAGGGGGCGGAGGAGGGUGUUGGUGAGAUGUGCUGCCUGCUGUGCUCUUCUGACCUACACAGGUUGCCUUUGUGCCUAUGUGGAUAGAAAAGUCAAAGAAAAGCAGGGCCAGGAAUCCCACAGCCAAAUCACUGGAAUAUUCAGAAAUACACAAUCCCUAAAGACAAGGAAGAAGUGGGAAAAGCCAGAAGGACAAACCCCAAGUAUAGAAGGAAAGAUACAGUGUUCUGGAAGACUGCAUCAUCACGCAGUGGAGUGUGGUCCCCUUACCUCCUAGCCCUCCAUCAUGUGCCUGUGACUAAACUGCCCCAUUUCUGUGGUUUUUCCCACUGAUGACUGUGAUCAAAGGGCAGCAACAAAGUCAGGGAGUAUCACUGUGCUUUCGGGGAACCUUAAAGGGAGGAGAGGGUAAGGGGACUCCCCACAGUGAACAAAAGCCCCCAAGAAUGAGAAACCUCCUGUUGCCUCCCACUUAAGUGUCUGCCCCACCUAAGGAUAUCCCCUUAGGGGUUCCUUAGAGCUCCCCUCAGGCCCUCUGCACCUCCACCCUUAAGCUAGUGACCCUUGUCUAGCCUCUGGCUACCUUCUUGGUAGUAUCAUCCAAGCCAUCCUGUGCUAAGCACUGACAGCAGAAGCCCUUUGGGAAGGGUAGGGACACUGCUGACCUAUUUUUGGAGGUUCUCCCCUCUCUAGCCUCAAAAACCAUGCUUCCCUUCCACUUGCCAAGCUGACUCAGUAGGAAUCCUUUGCAGUUGUUCUGGGGUAUAGCCCAGAAACCACAGGUUAAGAGACACAAGCCUCCACCCUGACAGAAGAUAGAGUGGAUAGGAGAGAUUCAGCACCGGAGCACAUGAAAAAGGAGGUCUGAUUUCUGUAUCUCUGUUCUUUUUAAUACUCAUAUUAUUAAAUCAAGUUUGAGGUCUGAUUUUUCUUUAUUCUUGGGGGUAGGGCACUGGGAUUGAACCCAGGGCCUUUGCCGUGAGAUAAAUCCACAGCCUUUUUUAUUUUUUAAUUUUUGACUCUUGCUAGAUUGUUAAAUUGCCCAGGCUGGGUUUGAACUUGUCAUCCUCCUGCCUCAGCCUCCCACAGAGCUGGGAUUAUAGGCAUACAUCACCAUGCCUAUAUACUUACUGAUAGACUUGACUAAUGAGACAGGAGGAAAUGUGUGAGGUGCUCAUUUUCAGGAAAUGUGUUUGCCUGGCUGCAGUCAGAGCUUUCCAAAAACCCUUGUAUCAUAAACUCCUUCAGCUUGAUAUGUCAACACAGCAAUACAAAUAUCAAAUAUAUGUAAAUAUUAAAAUAAGACCAUCAGAAAGGUCAAGGAUUAUGUUUUAUGAAAAAAUGUUUUCCUUCCAUCUCACUUAUUUUAUAUAUUGAGCCCACUCCCCAAAUCACAUUGGACAAGAUUCAAUUUAGAAAUAUUGUGUAUUAAAAAAUUCCACCAAGGAAUGUAUCUCUAUA